CUGUUUUAUGCAAUGGCUGCACAGUUUUAUAUUUUUAUGUAUUUUAUUGUCUUUUGCUGCCAUGUGUUCAAUGGAGUUUUGCCUCUGUCCUUGGAGAUAAUUGGAUUACUUCCCAAUUAUCUCCAUGAUAGAAGACUCCGUGGAACUGGUUUUGGGCAGAAAAGCCAUGCUUCAUUUGGUCACAAAAGACUACGAUCUAUCUUUUGAACCACUGGACCAAUUUGUAUGAUUUUGAUGUAUGUUUGUAUUUGGAGUAUGCUGAUUCUGAAAAUGUGAUACGUGAAUGUGAUGGAUACUAUUACAAUUUUGAAUAAUGUGGAAAAACUGUAUUUCUCUGCCUGUGAUAAUUACAUUACCCAUUGUGUAAGGUAAUUGUAUCACAGACAGAGGGGAGGAUUUUGUGUGGGAGUGUCUGAGUGUAUUGUACGUGUUUAUUGGUUGUUUUCCAAAACCCUGUGG